rnacentral:rRNA from 1 species
UACGUAGGGGGCAAGCGUUAUCCGGAAUUACUGGGUGUAAAGGGCGUGUAGGCGGGACCUUAAGUCAGAUGUGAAAUCCCACGGCUCAACCGUGGAACUGCAUCUGAAACUGGGGUUCUUGAGUGCAGGAGAGGAGAGUGGAAUUCCUAGUGUAGCGGUGAAAUGCGUAGAUAUUAGGAGGAACACCAGUGGCGAAGGCGACUCUCUGGACUGUAACUGACGCUGAGACGCGAAAGCGUGGGGAGCAAACAGG